ACACUUGUUGGUCUUCUGCAUUAGAGGCCACUCCGUGAGGACUUCCUUGCUCUCCUCUGAGCAGUGGAAGGUUUUUAAUCACUCCUUGUGUAGCAGGCACUCCAGCCUGCUACCUGACAGCCAUCUAACUCCCUCCUCUCUGCUGGUAGAACAAGUUCACUCUUUCCUCAUGUGAUGAAGGUAAAUCCAGAUUGGUCUAGGCCACAUGGAUGGCCCCAGACCACUUCUGAGUGUUUAGUGGUGGGCAUGUGCCCCAGUUCUGACCAGUGAGACAUGAGGGGAGGUUGGCUUGGGAAUUUUGAAAGGUCUCUUCAUUCAUAGAGAGAUGCAUAAGAAACAGUUCUUUAUCUGUCCGCCUUGGCGUUGUUACAAGAGGAUGGGAUGCCUUUGACCUUUCUGUACCUAGGAGGAGAGCUUGCUGAUGCUCUGAGGAUAGCAGAGUAGGUGGAAAGAGCUUGAUGGUGUUGAGCUGCUGAAUUACCAAACUGGAAGCAGACUACAUGUGGACUUCUUUUUAUAUGAGAUGCCACCGUAAGUCAUCAACGGAGCAUGUUUUCCUUCUGGUACUGAUUGCUCAGAAGCUCAGAGUAUCAGUGGGUCUUCACAUCUCAGUUCAAAAGUCACCACCUCUGGGAAGCCUGUGUGAACAUCCUUGACUGCCUCAGCAACAACUUCUCUGCAGUAGCGCCAAUAAGGGUUUUUAUUAGCAUACAAUAAUAUCACCAGCAAAAUAAUGCACAGUUCCUGAGAUCUUCAUAUUUUAUACAUAA